rnacentral:rRNA from 1 species
UACGUAGGGUGCAAGCGUUGUCCGGAAUCAUUGGGCGUAAAGAGCUCGUAGGCGGUCUGUUGCGUCCGCUGUGAAAUCCCGGGGCUUAACCCCGGGCGUGCAGUGGAUACGGGCUGGCUGGAGGCAGGCAGGGGAGAACGGAAUUCCCGGUGUAGCGGUGAAAUGCGCAGAUAUCGGGAGGAACACCGGUGGCGAAGGCGGUUCUCUGGGCCUGUACUGACGCUGAGGAGCGAAAGCGUGGGGAGCGAACAGG